GGGGGCGUACCGGUUUCGACGGGGUCGUUGAGAUCAGGGAAGCGGGUGGAGGAUUCUCGUUGGCCUCCUUAAAAAACGAGAGCGCAAGUAAUUGCAAACAAGACAGAGCUCGUAGCAGCAUAAUUUAAGCUACCGUCCGGUUCGUAUAUCUGCGUACGGAUAAUGGACGCCACUUGCAGACCUUACCUGUCGGAGGUUAAACGGGACCACCUCAAGGGCAAAGCUUUGAGCCCUUGUUGUAUUUAUCAAGUUACCGGAAUCAUUGCCUGUCAUUGGGCGAAAUGAGGAAGGGAAUAAAUCCAUACAAUGACUGCACCCGGAGAUGCCUUGAAGGAUAUGGUUUCGGACAGGAGUUCGAUUCUCCUCGCCUCCACCA
rnacentral:tmRNA from 1 species